GGUGGCUCAGUGGUGGAGUGCUUGCCUCACAUGCAGGAAGCCCUGGGUUCGAGUCCUCAGCACCA
rnacentral:tRNA from 1 species